rnacentral:tRNA from 1 species
GGGUCGGUAGCUCAGUCGGUAGAGCACUGCCCUUUUAAGGCAGGUGUCCCGGGUUCGAGCCCCGGCCGACCCACCA